GCCCACCCAGCUUCUUGUGCAACUGCCCCCAUUAUGCAGAUGAGGACCAUUUGAGGCCCAGAAGAGUCAAGUCAUGUGACUUGGUGUACGUGGCUCACUAGCGGCAGAUCUCAGAGGAGAAUUUGACUUUUAAGCCAGAACUUAUUCUAUUUGGUGACUUUUCCCUGGGUUGGAGGAGCCCUGGGCUUUGGCUAGGGACUGAUGAGACAUCCCUCUUCAUAGGCUGGGGUCACUUGUAUGGAGACAAGUAGAGGGGCUAUGGACCUUGCUCACAGACACACAGCAGCAAAUAAUGGAAGUUGGACUCCAAUCCAAAUGCUCGGGUUCCAGACAAUGACAGAGACAGUGAAGUGGAGCAGAUCCCAUCAAGGAAAGACCUUGAAGUUGUCCUCAGAUCUCCCCCAGUGUGCUGUGGUAAGCAACCCCAAUAAAUAAAUGCAAUUUAAAAUAAA